AGAGUUUGAUCCUGGCUCAGGACGAACGCUGGCGGCGUGCCUAAUACAUGCAAGUCGAGCGGGCCCUUCGGGGCCAGCGGCGGACGGGUGAGUAACAGUAGGCAACCUGCCCGAAAGACCGGGAUAACUGGCGGAAACGUCAGCUAAUACCGGAUAGGAGAAAGCGAGGCAUCUUGCUUUCUGGAAAGGCGGAGCUUUUCUGCCACUUUCGGAUGGGCCUGCGGCGCAUUAGCUAGUAGGCGGGGUAACGGCCCACCUAGGCGACGAUGCGUAGCCGACCUGAGAGGGUGAUCGGCCACACUGGGACUGAGACACGGCCCAGACUCCUACGGGAGGCAGCAGUAGGGAAUCUUCCGCAAUGGGCGAAAGCCUGACGGAGCAACGCCGCGUGAGUGAAGAAGGUCUUCGGAUCGUAAAGCUCUGUUGCCGGAGAAGAACGGCCUGGAGAGUGACUG
rnacentral:rRNA from 1 species